ACUAUAUGCUACCACUACUAUAAGCAUGCUACUACAAGCAUAGUCUUACCCAAGGUAUUUACCCAAAAUAUUUAUUACGUUAACUAACGGUAUUUAUCACCCCACUACUGUAAGCAUAUUUACCCAACAUAUUUAUUAUAUUAACUAGAGGUAUUUAUCUCCCCACUACUAUAAGCUACCACUACUAUUAGUUAGUGUUAACAGUCACGACGAUCCCGUUCCCGACAAUUCCCAUUCGUGACGAUCUCAACGAUUUCGACGAUUCCCAUUCACGACGAUCUCAACGAUUCCGAUUCCCAUUGGCGACGAUCUCGAUGAUUCUGAUUCCCGUUGGCGACGAUCCUCAACAAUUCUGAUUCCCAUUCGCGACGCUGAUUCCCAUUCGUGACGAUCCUCCCUUCGUCGUGGCCUUUGUUUGGAAUCGCUUUCAAGGCAGAAGAAUGCAACUUCCAUUUUUUGGUCCCGCUUGGUAGCUCUUUAAAAAUGAUCCAGGACUGGUGGGAAGACAAGGAUUGGAAUCAACGGUGGAACUUCAAGAGAUGCUAAUCAAAAUGAAGAGCAUGACAUACCUGAUGUUGAUCUUGAUAUGGAUUAUGAUAUGUAGAGUUCAUAACAAUUGUCUUAAAUGUUGUGUAUUUGUCUAAGUAGCAAUUGUUUUGUACUUAUCUUGAACUUGAUAUAGAUAUUGAUGUGGUUAUUUUUUGUGUUGAGUUAGUAGUUGUUGUGUUCAAA